rnacentral:rRNA from 1 species
AGGGCACCACCAGGAGUGGAGCCUGCGGCUUAAUUUGACUCAACACGGGGAAACUCACCCGGCCCGGACACCGUAAGGAUUGACAGAUUGAAAGCUCUUUCUUGAUUCGGUGGUUGGUGGUGCAUGGCCGUUCUUAGUUCGUGGAGCGAUUUGUCUGGUUUAUUCCGAUAACGAGCGAGACUCUAGCUUACUAAAUAGUCUGACCUUUACUGCUGAGGUCUGACUUCUUAGAGGGAUUUUCGGUGUUCAGCCGCAAGAGAUUGAGCAAUAACAGGUCUGUGAUGCCCUUAGAUGUCCGGGGCUGCACGCGCGCUACACUGGCGAAAUCAGCGUGCUAUUCCUGUCUCGAAAGAGACUGGUAAACCGAUGAAAAUUUGCCGUGAUUGGGAUCGGAAAUUGCAAUUAUUUUCCGUGAACGAGGAAUUCCAAGUAAGUGUGAGUCAUCAACUUGCGUUGAUUACGUCCCUGCCCUUUGUACACACCGCCCGUCGCUGCCCGGGACUGAGCCAUUUCGAGAAA